rfam:Anaerocolumna jejuensis DSM 15929 genome assembly, contig: EJ31DRAFT_scaffold00005.5
GAUUUUGGUAGAGGCGCAUUUUUUAAGAGUACAUAGCAGGAUAUGGCAGAACAUAAAGGAUUGCUGUGGAAAGGAAAAGAUGCCGAAAUAAAGAAAAAUUUUGCUUUUUCUUUGUUGGGCAUGCAGUUAAGAGCUGUGUGACUGUCAUCAAGAAAUUGAUGGAGUGCUGCCUGAAGA